CACGUAGGGGGCAAGCGUUAUCCGGAUUUACUGGGUGUAAAGGGAGCGUAGACGGAGAAGCAAGUCUGAAGUGAAAGUCCGUGGCUUAACCACGGGACUGCUUUGGAAACUGUUUGACUAGAGUGCUGGAGAGGUAAGUGGAAUUCCUAGUGUAGCGGUGAAAUGCGUAGAUAUUAGGAGGAACACCAGUGGCGAAGGCGGCUUACUGGACAGUAACUGACGUUGAGGCUCGAAAGCGUGGGGAGCAAACAGG
rnacentral:rRNA from 1 species